rnacentral:rRNA from 1 species
AAGUCGUAACAAGGUUUCCGUAGGUGCAAGGUUUGCCUACCGAUGCCCCGCAGCGACUCUAAAGAAUUGUUCAGUCGGCGACCCCCGGUCGCUGGCAACGCUACCAAUCUGCGCUGGGAGCGCCCCAACACGGGCGUGACCAGCAGCUCCUCUGGAGUUCACAGGUCAAACGGUUGCGGCCCCCUUCGGGUGGUUUUGAUAUGAUCGGCCCCAGCCGUUGGACCACGGUUGGCGAAGUUUGCGGAACCUGCGGAAGGAUCAUUACCGAGAGGGGGGCUCACGCGCCCCAGGGGUUCUGCCCCGCACCUUUUCACCCUAUGUGUAUCUUCCACUGUUGCUUUGGCGGGCUCCGGGGCUCACGUUUCGGCGCUGCCCCUUCAUGGGGCACGCGAGCGCCCGCCGAAGGCCCAUUAUCCAACCUGUUUAUCAGUGCAGUCUGAGUAUGUGAAAAUCAAUCAAAACUUUCAACAACGGAUCUCUUGGUUCUGGCAUCGAUGAAGAACGCAGCGAAAUGCGAUAAGUAAUGUGAAUUGCAGAAUUCAGUGAAUCAUCGAAUCUUUGAACGCACAUUGCGCCCUCUGGUAUUCCGGGGGGCAUGCCUGUUCGAGCGUCAUUACACCCCUCAAGCACUGCUUGGUAUUGGGUGCUCGUCUUCCCUCGUGGGGACGCGCCCGAAAUUCAGUGGCGGUCUCGGUAGACUUCAAGCGCAGUAAAUAUUCCGCUUUGGAAGCCUCUGCCGGCGGCUCAGCCAGUAAACUUCUUGACCCAAAACAUUGACCUCGGAUCAGGUAGGGAUACCCGCUGAACUUAA